rnacentral:lncRNA from 1 species
AGCGCGGAGCCGGCCGCGGCCCCCUGUUGUGUUGCUGCGGAGAGGAUCAUAAAGAUCAAGUAACUUGUGUAACAUACAAUUGGAAUGAUUGCUACAUUGCUUCUGGAUCUCUUAGUGGUGAAAUUAUUUUACACAGUGUAACCACUAAUUUAUCUAGUACUCCUUUUGGCCAUGGUAGUAACCAGUCUGUUCGGCACUUGAAGUACUCCUUGUUUAAGAAAUCACUACUGGGCAGUGUUUCGGAUAAUGGAAUAGUAACUCUCUGGGAUGUAAAUAGUCAGAGUCCAUACCAUAACUUUGACAGUGUACACAAAGCUCCAGCGUCAGGCAUCUGUUUUUCUCCUGUCAAUGAAUUGCUCUUUGUAACCAUAGGCUUGGAUAAAAGAAUCAUCCUCUAUGACACUUCAAGUAAGAAGCUAGUGAAAACUUUAGUGGCUGACACUCCUCUAACUGCGGUAGAUUUCAUGCCUGAUGGAGCCACUUUGGCUAUUGGAUCUUCCCGGGGGAAAAUAUAUCAAUAUGAUUUAAGAAUGUUGAAAUCACCAGUUAAGACCAUCAGUGCUC